AUGGACAUAACAACAAAUACAUAUGAGGAACUAGAAUACAAGAUAUAUGACCCUGGAAAGGAACUAGAAAAUAAUUUGUACAUACAUAUGAAUAAUAAAUGUGAAUAUUUUAGUGAACAAGAACUAAGUGAUUCAGUUUUGACAGAAGGUACACUCUCGAUCAUUCACUUCAAUAGUAGAAGUUUGUAUUGCAAUUACUCUAAAAUAUUGGAUUAUUUAACACAAGAUAAAAAAAACUUUCAAAUCAUUGCUAUAACAGAAACAUGGUUAAAAGAAGGAGAUGAGGAGGAGGUACAAAUAGAGGGGUGUGAAAUGUACUUUAUGAAUCGGAAUAAUAAAAGAGGUGGUGGUGUUGCACUGUAUGUAUGUCACAAUUUAAAAAGAAAAGUCAUUCAUAACAUGUCAACAGCCAUCCAAGAUGUAAUGGAAAUGAUCACUAUUGAAAUAAUCUCUGAAAAGACAAAAAACAUAAUAAUAAGUUGUAUCUAUAGAGCACGUGGAUCUUGUGUAGAAUCGUGUACAAAUACAAUUACUGAGAUGUUGAGUGGAAUCUGUAACAAGGAUGUAUUUCUCUGUGGGGACUUUAAUGUUGAUAUGGAAAAUGUAAACAAUUCAAAGACUGCAAACAACUUCAUAAAUUCAAUGUAUCUACUGGGUCUGUUUCCACUGAUAACCAAACCAACAAUAAUUAACACGCAUAGCUCAACAAUUAUAGAUAAUAUAUUUACUAAUGCUUCAGAGGGGGUAGAGAGAAAUGGAAUAGUGAUGACUGAUAUCAGUGAUCAUCUGCCAAUUUUCACAGUCUAUAAAAAUCACCAGAUCAAAAAUCAACAGAAAAUGGAAAAACUUAUAAGGGACAGGUCACAAAACGCUAUAGAUGUACUAAAAAGAGAUCUGGAACAACAAAACUGGGAUGAAGUAUAUGUUGAUGAUGUAAACAUGGCUUACAAUUCUUUUAUAGGAAUAUUAUGUAGUCAAUAUGAUAAAAACUGUAAAACAAAAACUCAAACACAAAGAGGGAGGAUGAACAAACCAUGGAUGACAAAAGGGCUGCUGAAUGCCUGUAAGAAAAAAAAUACAUUAUAUAGAUGUUUUUCAAAACUAAGAACAAGUGAAGCAGAAAGGAAAUACAAAAAAUUUAAGAAUACAUUAGUUUCUAUAAUCAAAAGACAAAUAAAGGAUUAUUAUAGCAAUUUAUUAGAAGAAAACAAAAAUAAUAUUAGAGCAACUUGGGGAAUAAUAAAUAAUGUCAUAAAAAGAAAUAAAAUAGCUUCAACUGUUCCAAAUUAUUUUGAAAACGGACAGUCUGAAAUUAGUGAAACCAGUAAAAUAGUAAAUGAAUUUAACAAUUUUUUUUUACUAAUGUGGGACCUGACUUGGCAAAAAACAUUCCAAAAGAACUAA
rnacentral:lncRNA from 1 species